GGGGGGCCGGGAGUCAGGGGCAAAAAACUGAAAUGAAAAAACCGUUCAUGAACUUUGGUUUUAUGAUAAUCCAUAACCAUCCAAUCACGAAUGCGUAUUUUGGUCAUGGAUAUGUUAUUUAAUCAAAGUUCAUGAACAGUUCUUUCAUUUCAGUCAUCUUGCUCCUGACCGAGUUUAAAGAUUGUCAUUUUCUUUGGAGGAUCUUUCUGGGCCUUACCUGAUUUACACUCCAUCAUAGAAGUCAUAGACUGGAACACAUUAUAAUUCAACUGAUUUGAAGUUAUCUUGCUCCUGACCGAGUAUAAAGAUUGUCAAUUCUUUGGAGGAUCUUUCUGGGCAUCACAUGAUUUACACUACAUCAGAGGAUUUGAAGUCAUAGACUGGGACACAUUAUAAUUCAACUAAUUUGAAGUUAUCUUGCUCCUGACCGGACUGAGAAUCAAGAUUGUCAUUUUCUUUGAAAGGUUUUUCUGAGCAUCACAAGAUUUACACUCUAUCAGAGAAUUUGAAGUCAUAGACUGAAACACAUUAUAAUCCAACUCAGGCUGAUUUGAAGCGAUAUGGCAGGCCAAGAACCAUUCAUGGGUCAACAGUUACACUGCAUUUCUUUGAACAGUCAAAUGUUAGACAAGGAAUUACCACGAUCCAAGCGUAACUGUCACCUGGUGGA